rnacentral:lncRNA from 1 species
UGGGAGAAUGCAAGACCCAGGUGACCCCAGAAGCAGCUGACUUGCUCACAGCCUGGUGACGCCAGUGGUGACAUCCAUGACUGCAACAGCACUUUAAGCAGUAAGUCACCAGCAACCUUAGAAGCAGAAGCUGCAUAAGAAGGGCAUGAAUGAUGCUUCUGGUAGAGGCAGCAGAGGGUGGAAAGUGCAGGCUCUCAAAUACAACCAGAAGGAGCCCAGAGUCGAAGUAAGCAAAGCCUUUCCCAAAUAAGAAAGAUGUUUGCUACCACGAACGUGCCAGCAGAGGAACAACUCAUCAAGCACCAUGAAGAACUACAGUCACAUGGUAGCACAAAAAGAAAAUGACAAUGCCCCAGAAACCAAACUUGAAGUCACAGAAGGUUGCCAUCUAACUGACAGAGAAUUAAAAAUAGCUGUUGUGAAGAAACUCAACAAGUUACAAGAAAACCCAGAAAGACAGUUCAAUGAGGAGACUAUGAAGGAGGUCGCUCCUGAAGGCCACCCACACUGGAGCGUUGAAAGAAUUUCCCUUCCGUACCAAAUAAGCCCAGCGGGAAAGAAACAGGAUCCUGUGCUCGGUGUGCAGCCCUGGCCUUUCUGACAAGUAGGAAGAAAGUGAAAUACCAGCGGAGUGUGUUUCCACCAACUGGCUACAUACAAACAUUUCUGCUCAAGAACAAAGCUACACCCCUCCCGAAGUCUGCUUGUGCCCGUUACUUUGUUCAACUGCAAUUUGUUCUUGAGAAAAUAUUAUCCCUGUAAUUCUAUCUAGUGGGUGGAUCCUUCAACUUUCUGUCUUCUAGAUGCUGGUUGUUAGCUGAACUGUCUGCCUUUCUAGAAUAUUUUUUGUAAUCAUUUCAUGGGUCAGAAAAAAGUAACUGUUUCUUAUUUG